GACGGAGGAGGCAAGCGUUAUCCGGAAUUAUUGGGCGUAAAGCGUCCGCAGGCGGUUAGUUUAGUCUGUUGUCAAAGUUCACAGCUCAACUGUGGGAGGGCAAUGGAAACUGAUUUACUUUAGUGUGGUAGGGGUAGAGGGAAUUCCCGGUGUAGCGGUGAAAUGCGUAGAUAUCGGGAAGAACACCAGUGGCGAAGGCUCGCUACUUGGCCAUAACUGACGCUUAGGGACGAAAGCUAGGGGAGCGAAAGGG
rnacentral:rRNA from 1 species